GGCGCUGGAGAACUGAGGGGGGCUGCUCCUAGUACGAGAGGACCGGAGUGGACGCAUCACUGGUGUUCGGGUUGUCAUGCCAAUGGCACUGCCCGGUAGCUAAAUGCGGAAGAGAUAAGUGCUGAAAGCAUCUAAGCACGAAACUUGCCCCGAGAUGAGUUCUCCCUGACUCCUUGAGAGUCCUGAAGGAACGUUGAAGACGACGACGUUGAUAGGCCGGGUGUGUAAGCGCAGCGAUGCGUUGAGCUAACCGGUACUAAUGAACCGUGAGGCUUAACCUU
rnacentral:rRNA from 1 species